CCAGAGAACUUAGCAGAGAUGCUUUGGUGGCCUUCGGGAACUCUGAGACAGGUGCUGCAUGGCUGUCGUCAGCUCGUGUUGUGAAAUGUUGGGUUAAGUCCCGCAACGAGCGCAACCCUUAUCCUUUGUUGCCAGCGGCUCGGCCGGGAACUCAAAGGAGACUGCCGGUGAUAAACCGGAGGAAGGUGGGGAUGACGUCAAGUCAUCAUGGCCCUUACGGCCAGGGCUACACACGUGCUACAAUGGCGCAUACAAAGAGAAGCGACCUCGCGAGAGCAAGCGGACCUCAUAAAGUGCGUCGUAGUCCGGAUUGGAGUCUGCAACUCGACUCCAUGAAGUCGGAAUCGCUAGUAAUCGUAGAUCAGAAUGCUACGGUGAAUACGUUCCCGGGCCUUGUACACACCGCCCGUCACACUAUGGGAGUGGGUUGCAAAAGAAGUAGGUAGCUUAACCUUCGGGAGGGCGCUUACCACUUUGUGAUUCAUGACUGGGGUGAAGUCGUAACAAGGUAAGCGUAGCGAG
rnacentral:rRNA from 1 species